AACAAUUAUCAUCUUCAGUUUUGAGAGACUUAAGAAAGUUUUUCAUUGUAACUUGCUUGCAAAUUGUAUUUGCAACAUUUUAAUCUUUUUAAGAUUAAGGGCCUAUAGCUCAGUUGGUUAGAGCACACGCCUGAUAAGCGUGAGGUCGGUGGUUCAAGUCCAUUUAGGCCCACCAUAACCACAAAUAGGCAAAAUC
rnacentral:misc_RNA from 2 species